UACAGAGGGUGCGAGCGUUGUCCGGAAUCACUGGGCGUAAAGGGCGCGUAGGUGGUGGCUUAAGCGUGCGGUGAAAGCUCGGGGCUCAACUCCGAGUCGGCCGUGCGAACUGGGCUCACUGGAGCAUAGUAGAGGCAGGUGGAAUUCCGGGUGUAGCGGUGGAAUGCGUAGAGAUCCGGAAGAACACCGGUGGCGAAGGCGGCCUGCUGGGCUAUGGCUGACACUGAGGGACGAAAGCUAGGGGAGCGAAAGGG
rnacentral:rRNA from 1 species